rnacentral:rRNA from 1 species
UACGGGGGGGGCAAGCGUUGUCCGGAAUCACUGGGCGUAAAGGGCGCGUAGGCGGCCGAGUAAGUAGGGGGUGAAAUCUCAUGGCUCAACCGUGAGGCUGCCUUCUAGACUGCUUGGCUCGAGCACGGUAGAGGCUGGUGGAAUUCCCGGUGUAGCGGUGGAAUGCGUAGAGAUCGGGAAGAACAUCGGUGGCGAAGGCGGCCAGCUGGGCCGUUGCUGACGCUGAGGCGCGAAAGCGUGGGGAGCAAACAGG